CUUUAAAAAUUAAAAUUGAACAUACACAAAAAUGUUUAGAAGAACUUUUAAAAUUAUAUGUGAAGCUUUUAAAACCGUCGACAUUAGACGCAACUAUUGUGAACAAGUUUUCGAUUUUGGAAAAGCAAAAGAAAAUAUGUACUUUCUUAAGAAGCAACAAAAACAAUUGAGAAAGCUAAAGAAACUGUUAGAACAAGAAGACAUAUCCAUUUCAGAAAAAAUUAAAGAACAAAAGAAGAUUAUGAAAAGCAUUGAAAAAACAACAAAAGAUCAAUAAUAUUGUUAAAAUUAAUAAUGUAUGUAGUGUUUUUAUUUAUAAAAUUUAUUUUUUAGAAAACUUUUUGUUUUUUAAGCAUUUCUAGUAUUUGGUGUCCUGCGGAGGCCAUCGUAGAGCAUAGGUUGGGUUAGUUUUCUUGGUGGCGGUCCAUAGUAUCUCCAUGGUGAUGGUUGGGCAUCUCUUGUAGCCUCAGUUGGAACAGUGAAAACCAUAAACACAGCAAGGAACACUCCAAAUAAAAUUGAUAAUUUCAUGUUGACUUUGUGAUAGGUUGAUAUUUAACUUAGAACAGUUAAUUUGUUUCUGAUAAUUAUAUUUUUAGUAAUGCUGCUUUUAUACUGUUCUUAUUAUUAUCAGUAUCAUAAGAUGCUGCAUAUGCAUUGUUGUUUGUGGAAUUCACUAGAGAACAAUAUGAUAAGUCGGAUCAAUCAGAU